CUAACUCUUCAUUCAAAUGUAAUGUUGAAAUAAUUUUAUCAUUAUAUAAAGU
rnacentral:antisense_RNA from 1 species